CCAAUUUCUACUACAAACACUUCAUUAAAACCUGUAACAUUGCAGGAAAUAGCUAACAUUUCAAUAUUUACAUUGGCUGUCAAGUUGUCGUCCAUUUUGCAAGUGUGUUUAUGUUCCGAGUAUUUUCAUUGGCUGAUGAAAAAACCGCUAUUCGUCGCGGCUUUAUGCCGUUAUUAUCCGGAUUAUUAUUAUUCAUUAGCCAAUGAAAUUGACAGUUACGAACAGAAGUUGGAUUUAUGCAUUGGAACAUACGGGCAACUACAAAAUGGCAGCUGAAGUUUAAAAAUAUCAAAACAAACAAGAAUUCCUUGAUUUAUAUGUAGCAGAAGUUUAUGAUUGCAUCAUUGCUGGUGAUUGAUGAGAAUGUCCCCAGCAAACAAAGAUGAGUAGUAGAGGACGUAACACUAGAAGCAGGUCUAGAGAUGAUGGCUGGGAAGUGUGGGGUGGUUACAUGAAUGCAAAGAAACAGAAGUUACAAAAACAAUUUGAUGAAGAUGCCCCAGGUCAGUUGAAGAAGGAAGGCAGUGGCUCAAAGAUAUUUGCUGGCAUAAGUAUAUAUGUGAAUGGUUACACAAGUAAGUUUACAUUUAAUUUGUAAUUUAAAGCAAAUACAUGAAUAUUACAAUAAAAUGAUCCAUUUUAUGCCAGCAUUGGAUAGUCAUUCCAUAAAUUUUCUUAAAUAAACAACACUCUUAAGGGGACAAGUUGUUGUUUCCUUGAGCAAGAAACUUUACAUUCAUUGCUCAGUACUGGUUGGCU